rnacentral:rRNA from 1 species
UACAGAGGGUGCAAGCGUUAAUCGGAAUUACUGGGCGUAAAGCGCGCGUAGGCGGCUGUCUAAGUCGGAUGUGAAAUCCCCGGGCUUAACCUGGGAACUGCAUUCGAUACUGGGCAGCUAGAGUAUGAGAGAGGGAGGUAGAAUUCCACGUGUAGCGGUGAAAUGCGUAGAGAUCGGAAGGAACAUCAGUGGCGAAGGCGACACUCUGGUCUGACACUGACGCUGAGGUGCGAAAGCGUGGGUAGCGAACAGG